rnacentral:rRNA from 1 species
GAUGAACGCUGGCGGCGUGCCUAACACAUGCAAGUCGAACGGAGUCGUUUUGGCAAUCUCUUCGGAGAUGGAAUUCUCGACUUAGUGUCGGACGGGUGAGUAACGCGUUCGCAAUCUGCCUUUAUGAGGGGGAUAACAGUCGUAAACGCCUGCUAAUACCGCAUAAAGCAUUACAUUCGCAUGUUUUUCUUGCUAAAGGAGCAAUCCCCUUUUAGAUGAGCUCGCGUCUGAUUAGCUAGUUGGCUGGGUAACGGCCCACCAAGGAGAAGAGCAGUAGCCGGACGGAGGGGUGGGACGGCCACAAGGGAAAUGGGAAACGGCACAGAGUCCUACGGGAGGCAGCAGGGAGGAAUAGUGCACAAUGGGGGAAACGCUGACGCAGGAACGACGAGUGAUGGAAGAAGGAUGUAGGGGUGAAAAGAUCUAAAAUCAGGGACGAAACAAAAGAAGGUAACUGAAGAAUAAGCAACGGCUAACUAAGUG